rnacentral:rRNA from 1 species
GUCGAACGAGAAGAGAUGAGAAGCUUGCUUCUUAUUGAUUCGAGUGGCAAACGGGUGAGUAACGCGUAAGCAACCUGCCCUCUAGAUGGGGACAACAGCUGGAAACGGCUGCUAAUACCGAAUACGUUCUUUCUGUCGCAUGGCAGAAGGAAGAAAGGGAGGCUCUUCGGAGCUUUCGCUGGAGGAGGGGCUUGCGUCUGAUUAGCUAGUUGGAGGGGUAACGGCCCACCAAGGCGACGAUCAGUAGCCGGUCUGAGAGGAUGAACGGCCACAUUGGGACUGAGACACGGCCCAGACUCCUACGGGAGGCAGCAGUGGGGAAUCUUCCGCAAUGGACGAAAGUCUGACGGAGCAACGCCGCGUGAACGAUGACGGCCUUCGGGUUGUAAAGUUCUGUUAUACGGGACGAAUGGUACGACGGCCAAUACCCGUCGUAAGUGACGGUACCGUAAGAGA